GAGUUUGAGCCUGGAUCUCAUUGCACGCUGGCGCAAUGCUUUGCACAUGCCCCUCCAUGGGGAUAGGGGGCAACCCCUUGGCAGAGGCGAAUCGGUGAGUGAGGCAUCGGAACGGGCCCAGACCCGGGGGAUAACUCACCGAAAAUUUCUCUUAUACCGCUACCAAUCUAUCCAACAAAGCGCGGGAUAGCUGCACCUCGCGCGAUUGACUCGGACUAUAUUUAAUUAAUUAGUUGGUGGGGUAAAGGCUCACCCCCUUUGUAUCUGUAGCUGGUCUGAUAGGACGACCCACCACACUGGAACUGAAACAACUUGAAGACUCCUACGGGAGGUCCGGUGUGGAAUUUUGGACAAUGGACGCAAGUCUGAUCCAUGUUUCCGCGUGCAGGACGAAGGCCUUCGGGUUGUAAACUGCUUUUGUACGGAACGAAAAAGCUCUUAUUACUACUAUGAGUCCAUGACGGUACCGUUCUAAUAAGCACCGGCUAACUACUUGCCAGCAUUCGCGGUAAUACGUAGGGUGCAAGCGUUUUUCGNAAUUACUGGGCGUAAAGCGUGCGCAGGCGGUUAUGUAAGACAGAUGUGAAAUUCCCGAGCUUAACUUGGGAACUGCAUUUGUGACUGUAUAGCUAGAGUACGGCGUAGGGGGAUGGAAUUCCUCGUGUAGCACUGAAAUGCGUAGAUAUGCGGAGGAACACCGAUACUAAAGGCAAUCUCUGCGUCUGUGCUGACGCUCAUGCACG
rnacentral:rRNA from 1 species